CCUACGGGUGGCAGCAGUGGGGAAUAUUGGACAAUGGGCGAAAGCCUGAUCCAGCCAUGCCGCGUGUGUGAAGAAGGCCUUCGGGUUGUAAAGCACUUUCAGUGGGGAAGAAAGCCUUGGGGCUAAUACCCUCGAGGAAGGACAUCACCCACAGAAGAAGCACCGGCUAACUCCGUGCCAGCAGCCGCGGUAAUACGGAGGGUGCGAGCGUUAUCGGAAUUACUGGGCGUAAAGCGCGCGUAGGCGGUCUGAUAAGCCGGUUGUGAAAGCCCCGGGCUCAACCUGGGAACGGCAUCCGGAACUGUCAGGCUAGAGUGCAGGAGAGGAAGGUAGAAUUCCCGGUGUAGCGGUGAAAUGCGUAGAGAUCGGGAGGAAUACCAGUGGCGAAGGCGGCCUUCUGGACUGACACUGACGCUGAGGUGCGAAAGCGUGGGUAGCAAACAGGAUUAGAUACCCCAGUAGUC
rnacentral:rRNA from 1 species